rnacentral:rRNA from 1 species
GACGAACGCUGGCGGCGUGCUUAACACAUGCAAGUCGAACGGAAAGGCCCUGCUUGCAGGGUACUCGAGUGGCGAACGGGUGAGUAACACGUGGGUGAUGUGCCCUGCACUUCGGGAUAAGCCUGGGAAACUGGGUCUAAUACCGGAUAGGAGCCAUUUUUAGUGUGAUGGUUGGAAAGUUUUUUCGGUGUAGGAUGAGCUCGCGGCCUAUCAGCUUGUUGGUGGGGUAAUGGCCUACCAAGGCGGCGACGGGUAGCCGGCCUGAGAGGGUGGACGGCCACAUUGGGACUGAGAUACGGCCCAGACUCCUACGGGAGGCAGCAGUGGGGAAUAUUGCACAAUGGGCGCAAGCCUGAUGCAGCGACGCCGCGUGGGGGAUGACGGCCUUCGGGUUGUAAACUCCUUUCGCUAGGGACGAAGCUUUUUGUGACGGUACCUAGAGAAGAAGCACCGGCUAACUACGUG